rnacentral:rRNA from 1 species
UACGAAGGGGGCUAGCGUUGCUCGGAAUCACUGGGCGUAAAGGGUGCGUAGGCGGGUCUUUAAGUCAGGGGUGAAAUCCUGGAGCUCAACUCCAGAACUGCCUUUGAUACUGAGGAUCUUGAGUUCGGGAGAGGUGAGUGGAACUGCGAGUGUAGAGGUGAAAUUCGUAGAUAUUAGCAAGAACACCAGUGGCGAAGGCGGCUCACUGGCCCGGUACUGACGCUGAGGUACGAAAGCGUGGGGAGCAAACAGG